CUACGUGCCAGCAGCCGCGGUAAUACGGGGGGUGCGAGCGUUAAUCGGAAUAACUGGGCGUAAAGGGCACGCAGGCGGUGACUUAAGUGAGAUGUGAAAGCCCCGAGCUUAACUUGGGAAUUGCAUUUCAUACUGGGUCGCUAGAGUACUUUAGGGAGGGGUAGAAUUCCACGUGUAGCGGUGAAAUGCGUAGAGAUGUGGAGGAAUACCGAAGGCGAAGGCAGCCCCUUGGGAAUGUACUGACGCUCAUGUGCGAAAGCGUGGGGAGCAAACAGGAUUAGAUACCCUGGUAGUCCACGCUGUAAACGAUGUCGAUUUGGGGAUUGGGCUUUGAGCUUGGUGCCCGUAGCUAACGUGAUAAAUCGACCGCCUGGGGAGUACGGCCGCAAGGUUAAAACUCAAAUGAAUUGACGGGGGCCCGCACAAGCGGUGGAGCAUGUGGUUUAAUUCGAUGCAACGCGAAGAACCUUACCUACUCUUGACAUCCAUGGAAUCUUGUAGAGGUACGAGAGUGC
rnacentral:rRNA from 1 species